GCCGGGAUGGCAGAGCGGAUAAUGCGCAGGCCUUGAAAGCCUGUGGCCUUCACGGCCGCAUGGGUUCGAAUCCCAUUCCCGGCG
rnacentral:tRNA from 1 species